rnacentral:piRNA from 1 species
UACUCUCCGUAAAGUGGUCCUAUGAUGUGU